CCACAUCCGAGUACCGUCGGCCUCUGCGCACAGCCCGCCGCUGCCGCCAUCUUGAACUGAGGUGCCGUGCGCUGCAAUUCUGCCCACGACCCGCCCAGCUAAAGCGUCAGUGCAGCCUUAGAACUCCAGGCCUCAACCCACCACACUCUAUGAGCAAUUGAACCUAGACUAAGCGCAAAGGAUUAAAAAAAAAAAAAAAAAAAGGUCCCUGUUGGGUUCAUUUUCUGGGAUUGUUUGAUUCCCCCGUCUGAAAAGAACAUGACUUGAGUUGUUCUGUUCUUUGUCUGCUUCCUCUUGGGCUUUUGAAAAGACUGUGGCCUUUUCUUCACCUGUUAGGAGUACACUGAGGAGACUCUGGAUGUCAGCCCAGAUCAGAAAGGGUAAAUGAGACAUGUACGUGGAUGAGCCCUCUUUCUCCAUCAGGGACCUGCCUCAAAGAAAGUACUUUCCCUGUGGAACAUGUGGUGUUGGAGAAGACUCUUGAGAGUCCCAUGGACUGCAAGGAGAUCCAACCAGUCCAUUCUAAAGGAGA
ensembl:lncRNA